rnacentral:rRNA from 1 species
AGGACGGCAGCAGGCGCGGAACUUGCCCAAUGCGCGGCGCGCGAGGCAGCGACGGGGAGCGCGCGAGCGAGGCGGGCCCACAGCCCCCGCCGCGGAGCCGAGGGCAAGGUCUGGUGCCAGCAGCCGCGGUAAUUCCAGCUCGGCGAGCGUCGCGCGGCGCUGCUGCAGUUGAAACGCCCGUAGUUGGCCCCCCGCCGCCACGAGGAAACGGGAGCGCUCCAGGCAGGCCCGUUGGACCCGCCGCGUGGGACCGCGCAGCGGGCGCGGCGCGCCGCGGCAGCCCCGAGGAGAGCGGGCGGGGGCACCGGUACCGGCCGGGGACGGGUGAAACAGGAUGAUCCCGCCGAGACCGCCGGCCGCGCAGGCGCCUGCCAAGACCGCCUCAGUCAAUCAAGGGCGAAGGCCGGGGGCUAGAAGGCGAUCAGACACCACCGUAUUCCCGGCCGUAAACGGUGCCGCCCCGCGGCCGGCGCGCGCGUCCCGCCGGCCGCCCAGGGAAACCGGGAGGCUCCGGGCACUGGGGGGAGUAUGGCCGCAAGGCUGAAACA